rnacentral:rRNA from 1 species
GAGCGGCGAACGGGUGAGUAACACGUGAGUAACCUGCCCCUGACUCUGGGAUAAGCCUGGGAAACUGGGUCUAAUACCGGAUAUGACAUCUACCCGCAUGGGUGGGAUGUGGAAAGUUUUUUCGGUUGGGGAUGGGCUCGCGGCCUAUCAGCUUGUUGGUGGGGUAGUGGCCUACCAAGGCGACGACGGGUAGCCGGCCUGAGAGGGCGACCGGCCACACUGGGACUGAGACACGGCCCAGACUCCUACGGGAGGCAGCAGUGGGGAAUAUUGCGCAAUGGGCGGAAGCCUGACGCAGCGACGCCGCGUGGGGGAUGACGGCCUUCGGGUUGUAAACCUCUUUCAGCAGGGACGAAGUUGACGUGUACCUGUAGAAGAAGCGCCGGCUAACUACGUGCCAGCAGCCGCGGUAAUACGUAGGGCGCAAGCGUUGUCCGGAAUUAUUGGGCGUAAAGAGCUCGUAGGUGGCUUGUUGCGUCUGCCGUGAAAGCCCGUGGCUUAACUGCGGGUCUGCGGUGGAUACGGNCAGCCUAGAGGCUGGAAGGGGCAAGCGGAAUUCCU